GAAUCUUGCGCAAUGGGCGAAAGCCUGACGCAGCCAUGCCGCGUGAAUGAUGAAGGUCUUAGGAUUGUAAAAUUCUUUCACCGGGGACGAUAAUGACGGUACACGGGGAAGUAGCCCCGGCUCACUUCGCGACAGCAGCCGCGGUAAUACGACGGGGGCUAGUGUCUCUCGGAAUUACUGGGCGUAAGGGGCGCGUAGGCGGAUCGUUAAGUCAGAGGUGAAAUCCCAGGGCUCAACCCUGGAACUGCCUUUGAUACUGGCGAUCUUGAGUAUGAGAGAGGUAUGUGGAACUCCGAGUGUAGAGGUGAAAUUCGUAGAUAUUCGGAAGAACACCAGUGGCGAAGGCGACAUACUGGCUCAUUACUGACGCUGAGGCGCGAAAGCGUGGGGAGCAAACA
rnacentral:rRNA from 1 species